rnacentral:miRNA from 1 species
UUCCUGUGAUGCUCAUGAGAA